GCUGUAGCUCAGUGGUAGAGCAUCGGUUUUGCAUGCAGAGAGUCUUGGGUUCAAUUCUCAGUAUCUCCA